GUGAAUCAUCAAAUCUUUGAACGCAAAUUGCAUUCUUUUCGGAGAGUAUGCGUGUUUGAGGGUGAGAAUAUAAAAAAUUGACAUCGUUGCUGUUUGGCGGUGGCGUUGGUCGGAAAUUGGGUCACAUUAAAUGUUUUGGUUUUAAGCGAAUUAAAAUUUUAUUUUUGGUUUCAUGAACGUUUAUCAGAUUUAUUUCGUUACACGUUUAAGGUAUCGAUUUUUAGUAGACGUGAUUAAA
rnacentral:misc_RNA from 1 species